rnacentral:rRNA from 1 species
UACGGAGGGUGCAAGCGUUGUCCGGAAUCAUUGGGCGUAAAGCGCGUGUAGGCGGUCCGGUAAGUCCGCUGUGAAAGUCGGGGGCUCAACCCUCGGAUGCCGGUGGAUACUGUCGGGCUUGAGUACGGAAGAGGCGAGUGGAAUUCCUGGUGUAGCGGUGAAAUGCGCAGAUAUCAGGAGGAACACCAAUUGCGAAGGCAGCUCGCUGGGACGUUACUGACGCUGAGACGCGAAAGCGUGGGGAGCAAACAGG